AUACUUUUAUAAGGAGUAAUAGGACUUAAUAUACUCAAGAAGACCAAGCGAUCCUUAUGGGACUGUACAUGCUGGACAUACAGAUCGAGCCCUGAUGCCAUCUGCCCCGUUCUCCCAGCCUCAUCUUUCCUCUCUAUGGCUAGCUUCACAUCGGUUGGCUCUUCUUUGGCUCUCUUCAUCCUGUCUGCCUGCCUCGCUGCUCUCCCUGAUAACAUUUCCUGUCUGAUGCCUUGACCUCUGACUCUUUCUGCCAGGUGCCAUCCUCAGCGUUGACUCACUUUAGUGCCACCCUGCUGAUUGGCAUUGCUCUUCUGAGGUCAUCACCAUCUUUCUUCAGCCAACCAAAACAA